UCCGUAGGGGGCAAGCGUUGUCCGGGAUUAUUGGGCGUAAAGAGCUUGUAGGCGGUUUUUCGCGUCUGCUGUGAAAUUUCGGGGCUCAACCCCGAACUUGCAGUGGGUACGGGCAGACUAGAGUGUGGUAGGGGAGACUGGAAUUCCUGGUGUAGCGGUGAAAUGCGCAGAUAUCAGGAGGAACACCGAUGGCGAAGGCAGGUCUCUGGGCCAUAACUGACGCUGAGAAGCGAAAGCAUGGGGAGCGAACAGG
rnacentral:rRNA from 1 species